UACGUAGGGGGCGAGCGUUGUCCGGAUUUAUUGGGCGUAAAGAGCGUGUAGGCGGCCCGGUAAGUCCGCUGUGAAAGUCGGGGGCUCAACCCUCGAAUGCCGGUGGAUACUGUCGCGCUGUGAGUCCGGGAGAGGAUGGCGGAAUUCCCAGUGUAGAGGUGAAAUUCGUAGAUAUUGGGAAGAACACCGGUGGCGAAGGCGGCCAUCUGGACCGGCACUGACGCUGAGGCGCGAAAGCGUGGGGAGCAAACAGG
rnacentral:rRNA from 1 species